CCCCCCAUCUCUCUUUGCAUGUGCUGGGGCGAAGUUUCCCCUAGAUACAGAUCUAGGAUCAGCUUCCCCUCCCCAAACCCAACAAGGACCACUAGCGGGGGGAAUUCAAACCUGAUCCAAAGGCAGGGUCUAUUUGGGGAACUUGUCCCAUCCCCCACAACUCUACAUGUGGAUGCGGCUUUCUCCAGCUCACCAUGCUCACAAAGAAAACAGCAGUGCAUUUCAGCUGACUGGCAGAGACAGUGCGGUGCUAGAAGGGAAGGUUUGAUUGGCAGAGACAGUGCGGUGCUAGAAGGGAAGGUUUGAUUGGGAGAGACAGUUGUUGCUGCCAUAGAUCAACAUAAAAGCCUAAAAGACAGCCGUGGUGUCGCUCUUCAUUUCUUGGUUCUCCUGUGGUACAUAAGAAACCCGCUACAAGAACAUGGAUAAAAGCAGGAAUCUCUCGUGCCAAGAUUCAUCAGCUGUUAUACAAAUAUGAUACAAAACACCAGCUGAGUGGCACCGGCUGCAUCAGCAAGCCUGGGAAAGAACUGAAAAAACGCACUAAAGAGUCAAGACAGACACCAGAAAGAGACCCAAGAAGACUUGGACGCAGGGUCAGAGGACAGCGAGGGAUGUUCAGAAAACACUCAGUCCGGUUUGGAGAAUGACUUCUCAACCCAAGAGGCCUAAGAGCAGCUGUGAGAGAGCAUCAGUUUGGAAGCAUUUGGGAAAAUGUAGUGCUAAAGAAGGUUCCCGGCAAAGAGGAUUGCCUGUUAUGGGUAAGAGCCAGCUCUCAAAAAAGAACAUGUAAAGACAAAAAAACCUGGUGCUCAACAAAAUGCAAACAUACAAGGCUCUCCGCAGCCAGUAAAAGGCUAGCAUGCCACGAAGCUGAAGUUCACACAGGUGAAUGGGAGUGUUGUAAAAGACAAAAAGCUUUUUAGACAUAGCUCUAAAAUGCAGGUCCUAGUUGAGCUUGUGGGCUUGUUCUGCUCUUUUUUUCUUUUGUGGUGGAAAACUUAAGUGUGUCGAGCAUAACACGUCAACCCUGUUACCAAUAGAUAAAGGCUAGACAAUUCUUAGCAAUUUUAUUUUUGUCUGAAACUUCCAAUUCAAUGCUAGCUGUGGGAUGGAUCCUGGUUCAAGUCCAGGCUCUGUCGCAGCCGGCUGCGACCUGGAGACCCAUAGAUUGGUGCACAAUUGUCCCAGCGUCAUCCUGGUUAGGGGAGGGUUUUUAUUUAUUUUCGUUUUUUAUUUUUGUUUUUAUUCAUUUGAAUAUGGUCUUUAUAACAGAAGGUAAAAUUAGGUGAACUUUUAGUUAUGAAUAUGAACUGGCAAUAUUCUAGUGGCCAUUCUUCGUUGCAAUAAGCCCAUGAAAUAAUAUCAGCUUUUAUGAUGCUGGUAAAGAUAGUACCUUUACCUAACUUCGCAGUGUAGCCUAUAGGUUAUACACUGUGUGUACAAAAUAAUAAGGACACCUUCCUAAUAUUUAGUUAGCCCAUCCACCCCCUUUUGUCCUCAGAACAGCCUCAAUUUAUCAGGGCAUGGAUUCUACAAGGUGUUGAAAGUGUUCCACAGGGAUGCAGGCCCAUGUUGAUGCCAAUGCUUCCCACAGUUGUCAAGUUGGCUGGAUGUCCUUUGGUUGGUGGAACAUGAGCGUGAAAAACCCUUCAGUGUUGCAGUUCUUGACACAAACCGGUGUGCCUGGCACCUACUACCAUACUCCGUUCAAAGGCAGUUGAAUCUUUUGUUUUGCCCGUUUACCCUCUGAAUGGCACACAUACACUAUCCAUGUCUCCAGGCUUAAAAAUCAUUCUUUAACCUGUCCUGUCCCCUUCAUCUACAAGUGACAUCAAUAAGGGAUCAUAGCUUUCACUUGGAUUCACCUGGUCAGUCUGUCAUGGAAAUAGCAGGUGUCCUUAAUGUUUUGUACACUUACUGUAAAUUUCACAAUAAUUAUACAUUUAUGGAUUUUGUUAUGUAGCCUAUUGUUGUCACUUUAUUGAACCUGUCUGCAACCCACCCGCCUGGGGACUGCGGGUUAUGAGACAAUCCUUGCAUGUUCUGCAGCCUUGUAAAGAUAGGGAGAGGAUGACUGGGAUGCAGUUUGGCAUUUAUUGUCAUGAAUCUUGCCCUGGCGGCAGUUCUGCAAAAAGUGGUCACAAGCUGGCACAGGCAUAAAGUAAUAAUAUCUGAUUUGAAACCUAACCUUAGCCCUAACCACACUGCUAAUCCUUACCUUAAAUUAAGACCAUAAAACACAAUUAUUUUCCACAGAUAUUUACAAUAUAGCCAGUUUUGACUUAGCAGCUGCCAUAUCUUGAGGAAAUUGCGCAGUUCUGCCUGCAGGGCAAUAUUCAUGACAAACUUCAAGCUGCGACUGGGAGAGGGAAUGUAAAACCGAUAAUGAAAUUGUUUUGACAAUUAACAUACAUUUUAUUAUGAAAAGUACAAUAUAUCCAUGUACACAUCAGAUAGCUGCUCUUUCUCUGCUACCUCAUUCAAUUUCUCUAAUUCUCUAGUUUAGUAUUCCCUGGUUAUGUUCCAAUUCUCCCUCUAUUUCCUCACCUCUUCCUCAGACUCUUCUUUUCCUCUUUCUUGUCCUCCUUACUUUCUCCAUUAUUUUCCAUCUGUUGCAUCUUACUGGCCUUCUCUUGCUUCACAAGUUUUUUGGCUUUGCCCUUCUUUUUCUUAUUGACCUUCCCUUCCUGAAUAUUUUGGACAAGGAGAUAAAGUUUGUAAGCUUAUGGGUUUUCUCUUGAGCUACUAUAUCUAGAGCUAUACUAUACCGUAGAAGGUCAUAUGGCCAAUAUUCCCUUCUUGUAUUUCCUCUCACCUGUGUAGGCCACUCCUGCCAUUUCCUGGAGCUGCUUCCUGCCGGUCUUGCUCAGGUUGGUGAUAGGGGCCAAGCGAGGCAUGUGGCGGUAUGGGAAGUUCUAUAGUGCUGAGGUCACAAGAGGAGAGAGGCCAGUGUGGCCAGACACAGGACCAGAGACCUCCCCUGGGCUUUGUAGUACCAGAAAGUAAAGUCAAAUAUCAGGAAAAUGCUAUGUUAAAAACAAUCUGUAGAUAUACUUUAUAACUAAACUAUACACAUUGCAGAUACCUGACUACACUCAAUAAGUAGGAGUAACUUACAAAGCUCUGGACAGUGUUAUUUUUUUCAGACUUGAGCCUGUUCUCGGCUAUACUGGUCUGCAUUUCUUCCAUGCUGUCUAUAAUUUCAGCCAUCUCCAGUGCAUUUCUUGAAUGCCACUUUCAACCUCCCAAGUCAAUUAGCCAACUGUCCAGGUCUACUGCCUUAAGAUCACCUUCGCUGCAGUUUCUCUUCAUGACUUGGAUCAGUGCCCUCACCUCCUUGCCCAUCCUCUUGACCUCCCUAGCCACGUCUUCAUCCGUCAGUCUCUCCUCCCUAUCCACUUCACAAUCCAUCCUCUACAGCAGGGGUGUCAAAGUCAAAUGGACGGAGGGCCAAAUAAAAAAUUUAGCUACAAGCCGAGGGCCGGACUGUUCGAAUGUUCAUUGAAAAAAAUUUAAAUGACGCAUAUAGUCUAGUGAACCUAAUUGAACCUACUGAAAACCUAACAAAUAUAUUCCAAUAUGAUCAGAUAAAUAAAGCAAUAUUUUCUUA